AUUGAACGCUGGCGGCAGGCCUGACACAUGCAAGUCGAGCGGAUGAAGGGAGCUUGCUCCUGGAUUCAGCGGCGGACGGGUGAGUAAUGCCUAGGAAUCUGCCUGGUAGUGGGGGAUAACGUCCGGAAACGGGCGCUAAUACCGCAUACGUCCUGAGGGAGAAAGUGGGGGAUCUUCGGACCUCACGCUAUCAAAUGAGCCUAGGUCGGAUUAGCUAGUUGGUGGGGUAAAGGCCUACCAAGGCGACGAUCCGUAACUGGUCUGAGAGGAUGAUCAGUCACACUGGAACUGAGACACGGUCCAGACUCCUACGGGAGGCAGCAGUGGGGAAUAUUGGACAAUGGGCGAAAGCCUGAUCCAGCCAUGCCGCGUGUGUGAAGAAGGUCUUCGGAUUGUAAAGCACUUUAAGUUGGGAGGAAGGGCAGUAAGUUAAUACCUUGCUGUUUUGACGUUACCAACAGAAUAAGCACCGGCUAACUUCGUG
rnacentral:rRNA from 1 species